AGUGAACGCUGGCGGUAGGCCUAACACAUGCAAGUCGAACGGCAGCACAGUAAGAGCUUGCUCUUACGGGUGGCGAGUGGCGGACGGGUGAGGAAUACAUCGGAAUCUACUUUUUCGUGGGGGAUAACGUAGGGAAACUUACGCUAAUACCGCAUACGACCUACGGGUGAAAGCAGGGGAUCUUCGGACCUUGCGCGAUUGAAUUAGCCGAUGUCGGAUUAGCUAGUUGGCGGGGUAAAGGCCCACCAAGGCGACGAUCCGUAGCUGGUCUGAGAGGAUGAUCAGCCACACUGGAACUGAGACACGGUCCAGACUCCUACGGGAGGCAGCAGUGGGGAAUAUUGGACAAUGGGCGCAAGCCUGAUCCAGCCAUACCGCGUGGGUGAAGAAGGCCUUCGGGUUGUAAAGCCCUUUUGUUGGGAAAGAAAAGCAGCAGGUUAAUACACCGAUGUUCUGACGGUACCCAAAGAAUAAGCACCGGCUAACUUCGUG
rnacentral:rRNA from 1 species